rnacentral:rRNA from 1 species
AACCUCUGCAAUGUGAGAAAUCGCGACGGGGGGAUCCCAAGUGCCAUUCUUAACGGGAUGGCUUUUCAUUAGUGUAAAAAGCUUUUGGAAUAAGAGCUGGGCAAGACCGGUGCCAGCCGCCGCGGUAACACCGGCAGCUCUAGUGGUAGCAAUUUUUAUUGGGCCUAAAGCGUCCGUAGCCGGUUUAAUAAGUCUCUGGUGAAAUCCUGCAGCUUAACUGUGGGAAUUGCUGGAGAUACUAUUAGACUUGAGAUCGGGAGAGGUUAGAGGUACUCCCAGGGUAGAGGUGAAAUUCUGUAAUCCUGGGAGGACCGCCUGUUGCGAAGGCGUCUAACUGGAACGAUUCUGACGGUGAGGGACGAAAGUUAGGGGCGCGAACCGGAUUAGAUACCCGGUAGUCCUAACUGUAACGAUGCGGACUUGGUGUUGGGGUGGCUUUGAGCUGCUCCAGUGCCGAAGGGAAGCUGUUAAGUCCGCCGCCUGGGAAGUACGGUCGCAAGACUGAAACUUAAGGAAGUU